rnacentral:misc_RNA from 1 species
GAUGAAGAACGUAGCGAAAUGCGAUAAGUAAUGUGAAUUGCAGAAUUCAGUGAAUCAUCGAAUCUUUGAACGCACCUUGCACUCCUUGGUAUUCCGAGGAGUAUGCUUGUUUGAGAGUAAUGUAAUCAUCAAUCCUCCUUUACUUUUGUGAAGUUGGCUUGGAUUUGGGGAUUGCUGGCCUUUCAUUAGGUCCUGGCUUCCCUUGAAUGCAUUAGUUGAAUCAAGUUACAACGUUACGUGUGGUGUGAUAAUAUCUUCGCUGCAUAGUUGUAAUGAAGUUUGGCUUCUAACAGUCCUUCACUGGACAAUACUUUGAACAAUGUACCUCAAAUCAAGUAGGACUACCCGCUGAACUUAAGCAUAUCAAUAAGCGGAGGA